GCCGGUGUAGCUCAGUGGUAGAGCAGCUGUUUCGUAAACAGCAGGUCGGGGGUUCGAGUCCCCCCGCCGGCUCCA
rnacentral:tRNA from 1 species